GCUGGAUUCGCUAGUAAUCGCGCAUCAGCCACGGCGCGGUGAAUACGUUCCCGGGCCUUGUACACACCGCCCGUCAAGCCAUGGGAGCCGGGAGUGCCUGAAGUACGUGACCGCAAGGAGCGUCCUAGGGUAAGACCGGUGACUGGGGCUAAGUCGUAACAAGGUAAC
rnacentral:rRNA from 1 species